GCUGUUCAGGAAAGAACCCAGUGCUGACGGAUAGUACAGGCUGGAGGCCAGUCACUCAGUUCAGACCGCUCAGUCAGGACUUUCUUGAUGGCUACCAUUUCUCCAGUGUCGCAGAGCUUCGCCUGGUACACCACGCCAAACGAGCCAUUGCCGAUGACCUUUGUGUCCGUAUAGCUGACCUCCUGAGGCCGAUCUGGACCCUGGCCGGGGGUUGCACCCACUGUUGUCACCUUACUGCCAUCCUUGUCUCCUGAGGAAAGCAAGAACAAGAGGAUUAAGAAAAUGUGCUUCAUCAUUUUAAUUAAAUAGACCAUUUGCAGAUAAUCAGAGGCAUAAAUCAGAGAUAACUGUGAUGGAUCGCUGCCCUGUCCAGGAUAUUCCUGCCCUGCGCCCGAUAUAUCCCGGUAGAACCGGAUCUGCUGUGACCCUGAACAUGAUAAUAUGGUU